UACGUAGGGUGCAAGCGUUGUCCGGAAUUAUUGGGCGUAAAGAGCUCGUAGGCGGCCUGUCGCGUCGGCUGUGAAAACCCGGGGCUCAACCCCGGGCCUGCAGUCGAUACGGGCAGGCUAGAGUCCGGUAGGGGAGACUGGAAUCCCUGGUGUAGCGGUGAAAUGCGCAGAUAUCAGGAGGAACACCGGUGGCGAAGGCGGGUCUCUGGGCCGGAACUGACGCUAAGGAGCGAAAGCGUGGGGAGCGAACAGG
rnacentral:rRNA from 1 species